UACGGGGGAGGCAAGCGUUGUUCGGAAUUACUGGGCGUAAAGGGCUCGUAGGCGGCCAACUAAGUCGGACGUGAAAUCCCCAGGCUCAACCUGGGAACUGCGUCUGAUACUGGAUGGCUUGAAUCCGGGAGAGGGAUGCAGAAUUCCAGGUGUAGCGGUGAAAUGCGUAGAGAUGUGGAGGAACACCGAUGGCGAAGGCAGCCCCCUGGGCUGAGAUUGACGCUCAGGCACGAAAGCGUGGGGAGCGAACAGG
rnacentral:rRNA from 1 species